GAUGAUGAAGAGCAAAAGAAGCUGCCGGAUGAAGUUAAAAAUAGUGAAGAUUACAAGAAAUACUUGCAACUCAUAACCGAGAGUGAAGGCUAUGAUUGUGGCUCCUUCGAUUUCCCUCAUUUUGACCUCAAGAUCACUCAAGCAACUCAGCAGCUUAUAGAUAGAAACAGUGUUUAUGUGGAACCUGCCCUCCAAGACUACAACAAACAACAUAAUAGGAAGCUGGUGUUUGAUAGUGUUUGAUAGCAUUGAGAAGAUGAACAUCCAGUCUGCAGUAUGCUACUAUGAGAAGUAUUAUGUGACCUUCAAAGUUAAGGACAUGGAUGACGUGGUGCCCUCAAGACCUUCUAGUGCAGCUUCUUGUGUUUCAUGUCAGGCCCUAGUUUUGAACAAUUUCGGGAGAAACCAACCCAACCCUAGUUUUGAAUAUUAGUACUCCAUAUGAGAGUGAGUAGAGUAUGCUGCUGUAUGCCAACAUAAACAUAUCUACUCUUCUUUAAUCUAUUUACAAAAUUACUCCCA